AGGUUGGUAAGAGCGACGCGCUCCUUUCAUGAACAAACCGCGUCUGCGUUCACUGGUGCGCCGCCAGAUGGCGUCACGAGUACGAUUGUCGAAGGAAGGUCAAACUCGGCGACUGAUGUGUACAUAUACGCUUUCGAUAGACGAGAGAUCCUGGCUAUUUGGACGCAACAGCGGAACAAAGCCUGCUUAUCUCGAAUAUACCAGAGAAUACCGCUCCUCUGGACGCGCAGAAGCCGGUGAGUUGGUCUCUGUUUCGCUCUUCGAAAAACCAUCAAUUUUUGUGCAAUCAGCUGUGUCCAGUGGAUUAUUUUGUGCGGAAGUGCUUGCCAAGCAGAUACUGCGUGGAUUAAGUACCUGGGGCCAUAAUCUGGUUGUUAUCUUGCGGCUAAUUCGACUCGAGCCGUGAACUGUGAUGUCACGAUCGUUUCGAAGCAACGAACUGAUCGUUCAGACGCAGGCGAGGAACGAAGCUUGAAGUUUCCGUCAACGACGACGACGACUACGACUACGACUAUGAGGACGACGACGACGGUUGUCUCUCGACGUGCGGGCAGAUGCAUUAUCAUUGUGAGCGGUGAUGCGAGAUGUACCGGUCUAGGAGGAGGCAGUGACGGUGAGUACUCAACGUUCUAA